rnacentral:lncRNA from 1 species
CAGAAUGACAUAAAAAGAUACUCUUCAGAUGUCACAUAACCUAAAAGUUGAUUUUUAGCUCUAACACAUAGGAAAAUCAAACCCUAGGAUACUCAAGCAACAUUUACUGAAAAUCUCACCACCCUUAUAGCAACUCUUGCCACUCAAAAUUUCCUCUUUUUUUUCUCUAAAUUUUUUCUGAAUUUUUUUUAUGUUUACCACAUCCCUAU